GACGAACGCUGGCGGCGUGCUUAACACAUGCAAGUCGAACGGAAAGGCCCUGCUUUUGUGGGGUGCUCGAGUGGCGAACGGGUGAGUAACACGUGAGUAACCUGCCCUUGACUUUGGGAUAACUUCAGGAAACUGGGGCUAAUACCGGAUAGGAGCUCCUGCUGCAUGGUGGGGGUUGGAAAGUUUCGGCGGUUGGGGAUGGACUCGCGGCUUAUCAGCUUGUUGGUGGGGUAGUGGCUUACCAAGGCUUUGACGGGUAGCCGGCCUGAGAGGGUUACCGGCCACAUUGGGACUGAGAUAGGGCCCAGACUCCUACGGGACGCAGCAGUGGAGAAUAUUGCACAAUGGGCGGAAGCGUGAUGCAGCAGCGUCGCGUGCGGGAUGACGGCCUUCGGGUUGUAAACAGCUUUCGCCUGUGACGAAGCGUGAGUGACGGUAAUGGGUAAAGAAGCACCGGCUAACUACGUG
rnacentral:rRNA from 1 species